GUGUUUUUCAAGCCUGCCCGUUGUGGAUAUACACUACAAGAGUAACAUCACAAGCAUCAUAUUCACCUGAGUACAUUACACCAACACAGAAAAAAAUCAGGAUUAGUAGAUUACAUUGAUAUCGAAGGAACUAGAUUCCGUUCUGAAAUAUCACAUACUCGACCUGACCGCGUAGCUCAGUUGGCAGAGCAUUGAUCUGGAAUUCCAAAGGUCGUAGGUUCGAUUCCCACCAUGGUCAGGCAUAUUUUCAAG